UACGUAGGGUGCAAGCGUUAAUCGGAAUUACUGGGCGUAAAGCGUGCGCAGGCGGUUAUACAAGACAGAUGUGAAAUCCCCGGGCUCAACCUGGGAAUUGCAUUUGUGACUGUAUGGCUAGAGUGUGUCAGAGGGGGGUAGAAUUCCACGUGUAGCAGUGAAAUGCGUAGAUAUGUGGAGGAAUACCGAUGGCGAAGGCAGCCCCCUGGGAUAACACUGACGCUCAUGCAUGAAAGCGUGGGGAGCAAACAGG
rnacentral:rRNA from 1 species